rnacentral:misc_RNA from 1 species
AACUUACAACAAUGGAUCUCUUGGUUCUCGCAUCGAUGAAGAACGCAGCGAAUUGCGAUAUGUAAUGUGAAUUGCAGAAUUCAGUGAAUCAUCGAAUCUUUGAACGCACCUUGCGCCCUUUGGUAUUCCGAAGGGCAUGCCUGUUUGAGUGUCAUUAAAUUCUCAACUUCAAAAUCUUUUUGAAGCUUGGACUAUGGAGGUUAUUUGCAGGCAUUCACAUUGUCAGCUCCUCUUAAAUGCAUUAGCGGAACUUCAUUAAGGACCAGCUUUGGUUUGAUAAUCCUAUCUAUGCCGUCGCUGUGGACUUGUUCAGCUUCUAAUGGUCUUCGGACUGUCUCAUUAACCGAGGCAUACACUUUUAAGCUUGACCUCAAAUCAGGUAGGACUACCCGCUGAACUUAAGCAUAUCAAUAAGCGGAGGCU